ACACAUGCAAGUCGAGGGGCAGCAUUCGGGUAGCAAUACCUGAGAUGGCGACCGGCGCACGGGUGCGUAACGCGUAUGCAACCUACCCAUAACAGGGGCAUAACACUGAGAAAUUGGUACUAAUUCCCCAUAACAUUCGAAGAGGCAUCUUUUCGGGUUGAAAACUACGGUGGUUAUGGAUGGGCAUGCGUUGUAUUAGCUGGUUGGUGAGGUAACGGCUCACCAAGGCGACGAUACAUAGGGGGACUGAGAGGUUAACCCCCCACAUUGGUACUGAGACACGGACCAAACUCCUACGGGAGGCAGCAGUGAGGAAUAUUGGUCAAUGGACGCAAGUCUGAACCAGCCAUGCCGCGUGCAGGAAGACGGCUCUAUGAGUUGUAAACUGCUUUUGUACGAGGGUAAACUCAGAUACGUGUAUCUGACUGAAAGUAUCGUACGAAUAAGGAUCGGCUAACUCCGUGCCAGCAGCCGCGGUAAUACGGAGAAUUCAAGCGUUAUCCGGAUUUAUUGGGUUUAAAGGGUGCGUAGGCGGUCUGAUAAGUUAGAGGUGAAAUCCCGGGGCUUAACUCCGGAAUUGCCUCUGAUACUGUUGGGCUAGAGAGUAGUUGCGGUAGGCGGAAUGUAUGGUGUAGCGGUGAAAUGCUUAGAGAUCAUACAGAACACCGAUUGCGAAGGCAGCUUACCAA
rnacentral:rRNA from 1 species